AAAUUAGGGGAUGGAAAUACAAGUUUAAUUUUAGAUACAUAGAUGUUCCUCUUAGAGAAAAGCAGGUUUAAAAUUUAAAAAAAAAUACAAAUAAUUUUAAAAUUGACUAUUAGAAAAAUCUAGAAAAAUCCGUAAGACAUGGUCGGACACUGAUAUAUGUAUAUAUGUAUAUUAGAUUAUAUAUUAUACAAACAUGUGCGUGUGUGUAUUUUUCCCGCUACUUUUGGACGGUUUUAGCGACUCCGCUUGGAGCCUGUAAUUGGAAAUUGGAGUUUUUUGACAUGAUGCAUUGAAGUGAUUAAAAUGAAACAAGGAAAGAUAACAUUUUGAAUGUGUGCAGUUCAAGUAUCAAUAGGAUAUGCCUCUUGGGGGUUUCAACGUUCAACCUCCCCCCCCCCAACAGUUUUUACAUGCUCAAAUGUUAUGUUUUCACGAGAAACGCCGUGUUUUAAAUAUCCCUAUAGACUCAUAAAAAAAAAAAAAAAUUAAAAUGAAUAUUUUAACGGCAACAAGUCAGUUUGGGGAAAAUUCGACUUUAGUGACGGAAUUCUGCUGAUUUUAUGUAUGACGGUGGUUAAAAAGUUUGUCGGUUUGGCUUGAGUUUUUUUUUUUUUUUAGUUGUUAAGCGUAUUAUACGAUGAGUACUAUUUAUUCAUUUCUUUUUUCUGUCUGUGAACAACUUUUUCACUUAAAAUCUUCGUUCAACUGUCAUACAUCAGGGAUAGUUUUUGGUAAAGAAAAUAUUACCCGUAUAGUCGGCGCAUCGGGAAGAUCAUUUUUCAAUUUUCCUUGAAGGUUUUUCAUAAUAACGGGGAAAACACACGUAGUCGGGCAAACGAGAAUAUUUACCCAAUAACGGCGAGAGUGUUAAUUUCGAUUUUGUUUCCUUUCGUUGUAAUUCCGUAAAAAAUAACCGUAAAGACGUGUAGUUUUCGCCGAACACUGAUAAAUUGUGUAAAUGUUUCACAUAUUAUUCUGUAUAAUGGUACACA